AACGAACGCUGGCGGUAUGCUCAACACAUGCAAGUCGAACGAACAAAAUUGGGGCUUGCUCCAAUUUUAGUGAGUGGCAAACGGGUGAGUAACACGUGGGAAUCUACCUAUCAGUACGGAAUAACAUUUGGAAACAGAUGCUAAUACCGUAUAUUCUCCAAGGAGGAAAGAUUUAUCGCUGAUAGAUGAGCCCGCGUAAGAUUAGGUAGUUGGUAGGGUAAUGGCCUACCAAGCCGAAGAUCUUUAGCUGGUCUGAGAGGAUGGACAGCCACACUGGGAAUGGGGCACGGCCCAGACUCCUACGGGAGGCCGCAGUGGGGAAUAUUGGACAAUGGGCGAAAGCCUGAUCCAGCAAUACCGCGUGAAUGAUGAAGGCCUUAGGGUUGUAAAGUUCUUUUAGUUGGAAAGAUAAUGACGGUACCAACAGAAAAAGCCCCGGCUAACUCCGUGCCAGCCGCCCGCCGUAA
rnacentral:rRNA from 1 species